CUGAGGGUCAGAGAAUGGAGUUUGCCAUUAAGUAACCAUAGAGGUCUGGAGGUCUGUACAGACAGACAGGAAGUGAGGUAGCUGGACAGAUACAGGAUAUAAACAGGGAGAAACAGGAAGGCACACUCUGGUAUGCUGAGACGCUAAGGAAGUAAAGUGUACUGUGGCUUGUUCCUUCUCUUUCAUCUCUCAGCAUUUCCCUCUAUAUCUGACUCUGGCUUUUUGUUAUCUAGAACAAUUAAGAACCCCAUUUACAGUCCCUUCAAAAUUCAAAUGGGAAUCUUUAGUUUAAGGCCAGCCUGGGCUAUACAUGAAGAGCCUACUUUAAAAAGAAAGCAAAACCACCAAGACAAAUGGAGUCAUGCUCCCCGUCCCCUUGCUGUCUCCACACUUACUGUAUCAAAAGCACUGCUGUAACUCUGUUGUGCUUCCUCCUCAAUAUCAACAUAUGAACGACAUCACUGGUAGGUUAUUGCCAACACCCUUCCUUAAAUGCUUUACCGAUCGGUUGAGCAACAUUCAAUAUAGCAUCUCUGUGUAUACUUUUGUGUGCCUUUGCAUGUCUAUUUGUGUGACAUUGCAGAGUAUAUCAUUGUUCUAACCAGACAAGCUUCUCCAACCUUGGAAUCUCUGCUGUGGUCAGAAUGCCUUUUGUUUGCUAGCAAGUACUCUGAGGUUGCAGGGGUCCUAGGCAGGGAGAAUGGUCUCUAGGAAGGCCAAAGCAUGAUUGGUUGGGACUUUUGGGAAGUCCCUAGGGAAGGAAAAGGGGCCGAAAGUUGAGUUGGUGACCAAUAGCCAGUGGUGCAAUCAACCACAUCAGUAUAAUAAAGCCUUUAUAGAAUCCCAAAAGGAUUUCAUUGGGUGAGUCACUGGGUGGCAGAGCACAGGGAGGUUCGUGGAGGGUGUGGGGACUCUGGGUGAUCACCUUACCCUGAGCUACAUCCGUCUCCCAUCUGGCUGUUCACCUGCGCUUUGUAAAGCCUUUGUAAAGCCUUUGUAAUAAGUGCUCAGUGUUCCCCCGAGCUCUGAGCCAUUCCAGCGCAUUGUGUGGACUAGUUAGUUACUCUUUUCAUACUGCAACAAAAUGCCUGACAAAAGCAACUUAAGAAGGGUUUAUCUGGGCUGGCAGCUUCAGGGGCAUUUGUCAUGGCAGUGGGAUUCGGAGGCAGCUGGUCACAGAAUCCAGGGAAGAAGCAAUGAGUGAUGCUACUGUUAAUGGAGUUUCUCCCCUGAGGUGAUUUGAAAGAAAAUGGGCCCCCAAAAGAGAGCUACUAUUAGGAAAUGUGGCCUUGUUGGAGGAAGUGAAUCUCUGUGGGGGUGGGCUUUGAGGUCUCUUUUCUCUCAAGCUUCACUCAGUGUGACAGUCAGUUGACUUCCUGUUGCUUGAAGAUGUAGCAUUCUCAGCUCCAGUGCUACAUCUGCCUGUAUGCUGCCAUGCUCCCCUUCAUGACCAUAAUGGACUGAACCUCAGAAACUAUAAGUGAGUCCAUCUUCAAUUAAACACUUUCUUCAGAAGAGUUGCUGCGGUCAUGUGUUUCUUCACAGCCAGAGUAAAUCCUAAGACAUCCUCUUUAUGUAGUCUGGAACUAUAGCCCAUGGAAUGGUGUUACCCACACUUAGGGUCGACUUCACCACUUCAACUAACCUAAUCCAGAAACUCACACAUAGCACACAUGUCCAGAGGUUUGUCUUCUAGAUAAUUCUAGAUCCCAUCAAGUUCACAAUCAAAUUAACCAUCACAUUAGUCAAACUCCACGAGAGCAUCAUGGGAAACUCAAUCUGUAGUCAGUUGGUUAGAUGUAAAGACCGCACUGAUUGUGACUGGCAUCUGAAGCAAGGCUUGUGGUCCGAGGCCUUACCCUGUGGGAUUGAAUGCUACCUUCAGGGUUAUGGCAUUGGCAGCAGACCUGAGAUGAAUUAGAGGACAGUGUCUUCUCCAGAGUUGCCUUGCUUGUGUAGAAGCAUCCCCCUCUCUCAUUUGUCAGAGGUUCUGAUGACUAUGAAAGAGGAGAGGAAGCAUGCUGGCUUUUUCUCUAUCACUACACCUCAGAAUUAGGUUCCUGGGAGUAAACUUAAAUAUGAUUUCUGUCUGUAGAGUUCCUGGUACUGUUCGUGGAAUGAGAAAAUGUCCUGCUGUGACCUUGCCUGCCUUUGUCCUCUUGAGUCAGGUCAGCACCUGGCUGACCUCGUUUCUACUUAUUGCCCUAGGAGCCUCUUUAUGGACCAUGGAAAGUUGUCCCCUCUGUUCAUGGUUGCUCUUCUUCCUCUACUCAGCCUCCAGCCCCCCUUCAGCCAGAAGCUGUGCUGGCUACAUCACUGAGGUGCUCCUUUAGGUCUGGAGUUAGAUCCUAGCAAAUCAGGAAGGAGCCAAGUGUGACAUUGUCUUGGACGUUUGACGGGGAGGAGGUUGAUAGAGCUGAGUUCCCUGGAUUCAUCUGUGCUGUCAGCAGGAAUAUUGAGGAGUGCCAGUAGCAUGCUGUGUCCAACCACAACCUCUAAAACAUCACGGGUAUUUACAUUUUAAUUUUGGCUGGUAAUUUUUCCAGCCUUUACAUGAGAAUUCCUACCAAGCCAAUGCACAUUAAUCUGAAGUCUGCCCCAUGGGGUUUAUGAGAGACUGAGUUUUACUCCCUUUGAAAGAAAUAAUACAUCAUCAAAGUUCUCAGAGGCUGCUCUGUGGAGCUGUGAUGUCGUGGAUGCCUGACAUUUUUCCUAUAACAAGGCAUGUGCAAACCUCCCCUCCUAUGUGAAUCUUGAGAUAUUCCCUCCCCCUGUGGAGCAUAAGGGAGCAUAUUUGGCCUUUUAAUCCCUGACAGCUAGAGAUAGUUAAUCAAACGUUCCUAUUUGAAACUUGAAUUCUUGAUCCAGGGACUAAAUAAAUAAAUAAAUAAAUAAAUAAAUAAAUAAAUGGACUUUGUUUUGUUUUGUUUUUGUUGAGACAGGGUUUCUCUGUAUUGCUUUGGACCCUGUCCUGGAACUCGCUCUCUAGACCAGGCUGACCUCGAACUCACAGAGAUCUGCCUGCCUCUGCCUCCCGAGUGCUGGGAUUAAAGUCGUGUGCCACUUCCGCUGGUCAAUAAAGGGACAUUUUAAACUUCAUCCUGGUGCCAGAGUUCCCAGAGGCAAGGGCAUCUAGCAGCUGUGGUGGUGAAUCCAGCGAAAUGCUUCUUCUCUGCUCCCUGAAGUCAUCACCAUCAGUGCCCAGCUGCUUCUAUUGCCCAGAGAAAGAACUCUGAUACACACGAGAGGUGGUUUGAAAGAAAAUGGCCCCCAAAGGGAGUAGCCCUCUUAGGAGGUGUGGCUUCAUCGAAGUAGGUGUGCCCUUUGUUGGAGGAAGUGUGUCUCUGUGGAGGUGGGCUUAGAGGUCUCUUGUAUGUUCAAGAUUCACUCAGUGUGAAUACACAGACCAUUUUCCUGUUGCCUUCUGAUCAAGAUGUAGCCAGCACCAUGUCUGCCUGUAUACCACCAUGCUCCCCGCCACGAUGAGAAUGGACUAAACCUCCAAACUGUAGGCUAGCCCCAGUUAAAUGUUUUCUUUUGUAAGAAUUGCCAUGGUCAUUGUGUCUCUUCACAGCAAUAGAAACCCUAACUAAGACAACAUGGAAACAAACAAACCCAUCUACCCAGAAUGCUGGAAUGUUCUAUUCCACAUCUGGGAAGACUGGUAGGUAUAGCAUCAGUCACUGAUAAUAAAUGGCCUUUCUUCAGCUUGUCCCUCAGAGGGGAACUGAGCAUAGAGGCAUGGACACAGUGUUGUAAGUGGCCAGUUCCUCAGCAUGGUUGUGUGUGUGGUUAAAAGGCAAAUCUUGCUCAGGUAAAACUAGUACAUCACUGAUAUCUCAGCUACCUUUUUCUUCACUCAAACCAUCAAUUCUGCUGAAGAAGAGGAAAAUCCCAAGGCAUCUCCCUGUAAUGUUCUACACCCUAGGAAGUGUUUGUGUUGGUAUGUCAGUGCUGGGUAGAGAAACAUAGGAUGCUUCCUGGAGUUCAUCCAAUUCUCUAAGUGAUGGUUCUAUGGACUCAUGCUACACUGAAGUAGGAAACCCGAUCUGUCAUUCACUCUGGUGUUUAUUGAGUUCCUAUUGUGUGCUAGACACCAUUUAAGUAUGAAAACCCAAAUGCUAAUAGAAUUUUUGCUUUAGGGAGCUCUCAGCUGGCAGAACAACUAUUGUGAGAUUGGCCUACUUUCACAAGUGAGCAGCAAGCAGCCUUGGCAUUGCAGAGGGAACUGCAGCAGAACUCAAAGCAGGACCAAAGCAUCUCAACCCACCUCCAUUUUGGCAAACAAAGCAGCUACCAGCCAUAUAACUUCAUCUGCAUAGUGCUUCAGUCCAGCUCCGGAUGAGGAUGGGGUCUCAAGAUGGGUGGCAAUACAAGGAAUCAGACAUGGGACACUUAUCCAGCAGGGCUGUGAGAACCAAGCUCCCUUGAAACCAGUGCAAGGCAGCUCACUCACAGUGCUGUCUUCUCCCUCCACCCAUGGAUCCGGAGCACCAUGGCUGCUCUCUUUCCUCCUCUGGGUUAUUUGGACAGCUCAAGAAGGAAGAGCAAGUGUGACAUUCAAUUCAGAUCAAUGGACAGGCAUGGCCCACAAGUCUGACUGCAGAAAUCUCAGCGAAGGAGCCAAGAGCUGCUGUUGGCCCUGUUCUACACUACUGAAGGAAAGUAUUAUACAGAGCUAUUCCAGAGUUCCAUAAAAGAUGGUUUCUUCAUUGUUCACCCUUGGAUAAGUGGGGAAUUGACUCAAGAGGGGCAGUAAACUCUUAAAUGUUCAUAUAUACAUAAUGGAAGAGUGCCAUUAGGGCCCAAAUAUCAAAGAUAAAUGUUUUGUGUUGUUGCUCUUUGUUGGUUUGAGACAGAGUCUCACCAUGUAGCCCUGGCUGGCCUAUAACGUCACAAAUCAGGCUGGCUUUGAACUCACUGAGAUCCUUCUGCCCGACUCUGAGUUUAAAGAUGUUUGCCACCAUGCCCAGCUUGCCAAGGAUUUUUUUUUUCAUUUGUAUUCAUAGAAUUGAUUGACACGGACAUCAGCUCUUUGCCUGAAUGAUUCAGGGCAAAGGCUGUAGAGACAGCUCAUCCAGCAGGAAGGCAGAAUCUCCAUGCUGUAGGAAGAUUAUGGCAGGCAAGUUCUUGAAGAACAACAACAAUGACAAAAACAAAUGACCAACUAUCUCAGAGAUAGAGACAGUAUCCCUGACAGUGUUCCUGCCCCAUUGUUUCUACGCUAGAGGAUGGAGUAGUUUGUUGGGAGGGACUUUCUUAGCCAAUUUCUUCGGUGGGCAAAAUGAUGACUCCAAUGACUGAUUCUAAUUCUGGUACCACAUCCCCCCAACCUUUCAGUCCUCAUUUGAUCGUGUCAACUGCCCCAAACUUUAAUCACAAUAGGAUUUAGUUACUUAGUUAUUUUUGCCUGCCCUAGUGCUGGCUACUUAGCUGGUCUGUAGCCCAUCUUCAGGAGUAUCACCUAGGACUUACUAGGGAAAUAGAACCCACGCUCUACCCUAGACCUUCAUUUACUUAAUCAAGAUUCUCAAGUCAAUUUUCUACAUAUUAGGCUGUGGGAAACUCUUUUCACAUUUUUCCUGUAACUAUGCUGCAACCCCCUCCAACAACAACAAAAGACCAACUAUGCUAUAAAAAAAAAGACAACAAAGCCAAAAGACAACCAGUAAUCUAAGAAGAAAACCAUUGUCUAUACAUAAAAGUAUUUUCUGCAAAAUUAAAUGCAAUAACAUUAAACAACUUUUUCCAGAACAAAUUAUGAAAGACAUUAAGGUAGACAAAACAAUGACUUUGUGUCUUUUUAAAAAAAUUUUUAAGAGUUUUCUGCCUUGUCCUGCACAACUGACUGAGGUAGAGAAGGAAUAGAGAAAAGACAAACUGACACCUGGACAGAAAUACAAUUCUAUGAAUACUAUGAAUACAAAUGAAAAAAAAAAUCCUUGGAAAGCAGGGCAUGGUGGCACCCAUCUUUAA